CAUGCCUGUUCGAGCGUCAUUUCACCACUCAAGCCUCGCUUGGUAUUGGGCAACGCGGUCCGCCGCGUGCCUCAAAUCGACCGGCUGGGUCUUCUGUCCCCUAAGCGUUGUGGAAACUAUUCGCUAAAGGGUGCUCGGGAGGCUACGCCGUAAAACAAACCCAUUUCUAAGGUUGACCUCGGAUCAGGUAGGGAUACCCGCUGAACUUAAGCAUAUCAAUAAGCGGAGGAAAAGAAACCAACAGGGAUUGCUCUAGUAACGGCGAGUGAAGCAGCAAUAGCUCAAAUUUGAAAUCUGGCGUCUUCGACGUCCGAGUUGUAAUUUGUAGAGGAUGCUUCUGAGUAACCACCGACCUAAGUUCCUUGGAACAGGACGUCAUAGAGGGUGAGAAUCCCGUAUGCGGUCGGAAAGGUGCUCUAUACGUAGCUCCUUCGACGAGUCGAGUUGUUUGGGAAUGCAGCUCUAAAUGGGAGGUAAAUUUCUUCUAAAGCUAAAUAUUGGCCAGAGACCGAUAGCGCACAAGUAGAGUGAUCGAAAGAUGAAAAGCACUUUGGAAAGAGAGUUAAAAAGCACGUGAAAUUGUUAAAAGGGAAGGGAUUGCAACCAGACUUGCUCGCGGUGUUCCGCCGGUCUUCUGACCGGUCUACUCGCCGCGUUGCAGGCCAGCAUCGUCUGGUGCCGCUGGAUAAGACUUGAGGAAUGUAGCUCCCUCGGGAGUGUUAUAGCCUCUUGUGAUGCAGCGAGCGCCGGGCGAGGUCCGCGC
rnacentral:rRNA from 1 species